rnacentral:misc_RNA from 1 species
GAAAUGCGAUAAGUAAUGUGAAUUGCAGAAUUCCGUGAAUCAUUAAAUCUUUGAACGCACAUUGCGCCCUCUGGAAUUCCUAAGGGCAUGCCUGUUCGAGAAUCAGUUUAACCAUCAAACUCGUUAUUGUCUCGCGCUAACAGUUUGGACUUGGGACUACUCGAAAGAGAGACCUGAAUGUUAUCUGUUGCCCUUAUGUAGGUAGACUAUAUGAAAGGCAUGACCAUUGAACGAAAGUUCUUAUUGAUUGCAACUAGUAUAGUUGAACUAUGUAUUGUAGGCACAAAUUUCGCACGAAGAGCCUAAAAAUUCUUUAAGACUUGAUCUCGAAUCAGACAAGACUACCCGCUGAACUUAA